rnacentral:tRNA from 46 species
GUCAGGAUAGCUCAGUUGG